AUGUGCAUUCCUAAGAAUGAUGGAGGUAUGGGAUUUCGUGAUCUACAUUGUUUCAAUAAAGUCAUGCUGGCAAAAAAAUGCUAGAGACUUAUCGAAGCAAAUUGAUUAUGUGCUUAGAUUUUGCGUGCCAAAUAUUGCCCGGAUGGGGACUUGAUGAAUGCUACUUUGAAGAAAAGUUUGUCGUACACAUGGCAGAGUAUCAUGGAAGGUAUGCAAACUUUGAAACAAGGGGCGACUUGA
rnacentral:rRNA from 1 species